rnacentral:rRNA from 1 species
AAGGAUCAUUACCGAGAGGGGGCUUCGCGCUCCAGGGGCUUCGGCCCCGUACUCUUCACCCUUUGCCUACCUAUCUUUGUUGCUUUGGCGGGCCUCGGGGUACGUCCCGCGCCGGCCAGGGCUUUGCCGCCUCGGCUUGUGAGCGCCCGUCGGAGGCCCAUUCAAUCCUGUUUUAUCAGUGACGUCCGAGUGAAAACACAAUCGUUAAAAACUUUCAACAACGGAUCUCUUGGUUCCAGCAUCGAUGAAGAACGCAGCGAAAUGCGAUAAGUAAUGUGAAUUGCAGAAUUCAGUGAAUCAUCGAAUCUUUGAACGCAUAUUGCGCCCCUUGGUAUUCCGGGGGGCAUGCCUGUUCGAGCGUCAUUGCACCCCUCAAGCGCAGCUUGGUAUUGGGCCUUCGCCCCCGCGGCGGGCUCGAAAAGUAUUGGCGGCCCGGCGUGGACUUCAGGUGUAGUAAACUUCUCCCGCUCUGGAAGUCGCGUCGUGGCCCGCUAGAUA